AGCUUUGCACAGUGACAGUAUUAUAGCCAAUGAGGUUUAUCCAAGGCAUAAUUAUUUCUAAUUGAAAACUUUUCCCAAUACCCCACCAUGACAACUUAAAAUAUGGUCGGCACUGGCAUUUUUUUUUCUUCUUUUUUGAGA
ensembl:snRNA U4 U4 spliceosomal RNA